rnacentral:rRNA from 1 species
UACAGAGGUCCCAAGCGUUGUUCGGAUUCAUUGGGCGUAAAGGGUGCGUAGGCGGCGCGGUAAGUCGGGUGUGAAAUCUCGGAGCUUAACUCCGAAACUGCAUUCGAUACUGCCGUGCUUGAGGACUGGAGAGGAGACUGGAAUUUACGGUGUAGCGGUGAAAUGCGUAGAUAUCGUAAGGAAGACCAGUGGCGAAGGCGGGCCUCUGGACAGUUCCUGACGCUGAGGCACGAAGGCCAGGGGAGCAAACGGG